AUAUGUUUUAGCACCCCCUCCCCCCUCAAGUUGGAAGGAGAUAAUUCACUGACUGACUACUUGUGUAGAUUGUCUGUGCCUUGGUGAGUAGAUCAACCAACUGAUUUGCAGUAGAGGUGCCAUGCGAUUUCUUCAUCGUGUUCGUGACCCAACCCUCAUGCUCACAAAGAAGGAGUUCCAUGUGUAUCUCAUUCUUGAUGAAGAAUGAUAGUGGGCCAGGAAACCAUGUUUUGGAUCUUAACAAGAGAAGCGAUGAAAAAUUUGAUGAUUUUGGACACCUACAUGGGUACCUAUGCCCUGUAGGUACUACCUACGUGGGGUAGGUGUUAGAAUAUAUGCCAGAAAGUUAAAGUCCAGAGAUUCAGAAGAUGAAAAUUUUUUACUGUCACCUACGGAGGACUACCUACGGGCUUUAAGUAGAAUCUACACCCUGUAGGUGUUAGAAGACAUAAGUUCAGAGAGUUUCUCAUGAUUUUUAAGAAGUAGCACCUACGGUAUGACCACCUAUGUCUUGUAGGUGCCACCUACGCCCCAUAGGUGGCCCUGUAGAAGGUCACUGACUCUGAUUUUCCUCUUUUACUUAGGAUUAGUUUCCUAGGGUUUCCUUGUACUCUGUAGAUACCCCUUUGACAUUUUUAGUUA